rnacentral:rRNA from 1 species
GUAGGGAAUCUUCCGCAAUGGACGAAAGUCUGACGGAGCAACGCCGCGUGAGUGAAGAAGGCCUUCGGGUCGUAAAACUCUGUUGCCGGGGAAGAACAAGUGCCGUUCGAACAGGGCGGCGCCUUGACGGUACCCGGCCAGAAAGCCACGGCUAACUACGUGCCAGCAGCCGCGGUAAUACGUAGGUGGCAAGCGUUGUCCGGAAUUAUUGGGCGUAAAGCGCGCGCAGGCGGCUUCUUAAGUCUGAUGUGAAAUCUUGCGGCUCAACCGCAAGCGGUCAUUGGAAACUGGGAGGCUUGAGUGCAGAAGAGGAGAGUGGAAUUCCACGUGUAGCGGUGAAAUGCGUAGAGAUGUGGAGGAACACCAGUGGCGAAGGCGGCUCUCUGGUCUGUAACUGACGCUGAGGCGCGAAAGCGUGGGGAGCAAACAGGAUUAGAAACCCCAGUAGUCC